AGGUGUCGAGACCAUCUAUCUGCAAUACUUCGGGGAUAUAUUUCGGUGUCUACCUCCAGGCUGUUGAUGAGGGUAGAAGAGUUAACAGAGGGAACGCCAUUGCACCAAAGUAUAUAUUAAGCCAACUUUCAAGCCCAUGGGGGGGAAAAAAGGAACAGUCCUGACUACAUCUUUUAAGAGAAAACCUACCUACAAACCUUCCAAAAAUGGAACCACUGAG